UACGGAGGGUGCAAGCGUAAAUCGGAAUCACUGGGCGUAAAGGGCACGUAGGCGGCUUGAUAAGUCAGGUGUGAAAUCCCUGGGCUCAACCUGGGAAUGGCAUUUGAUACUGUUGAGCUAGAGUCUGGUAGAGGGAGGUGGAAUUCCAGGUGUAGCGGUGAAAUGCGUAGAGAUCUGGAGGAACACCGGUGGCGAAGGCGGCCUCCUGGGCCAAGACUGACGCUGAGGUGCGAAAGCGUGGGGAGCAAACAGG
rnacentral:rRNA from 1 species